CCCCAUGCCACUCCAUCCACUCCCAAUCCCUCCAUCUCCACCCUGCCGGUGGCCCUCAACAUCCAUCCCCUGCAUUGUCGGACCCUCCUUCCAUCAUUGGAUCUGGCCGCCACGUCGCUGCCUUCCUCCACUCCAUCCUUGCACCCACCCACCCUACACGAAACCCACCUUCGUCCUCCCCCACCCCAUCUACCUUCUUCCUCCCUGAUCCCUCCGCCUCCACCGGCCCCCAAUGAGGCCUUAACCACCGUAUCCAGCCGCCACCUACCCCCGACCUGGCCUCAGCCACGAGAUUCGCCUGCCACCGCCCCCUCUGACCAUGACCGGAGCUCCCAUGUGAAGUUCCCCCACUGCUUCUCCACCAAGAUGCUAGUUGACGACGCCGGCGGCACCACGCCACACGAGGCGCUGCCGCCGGAGAUGCUCAGGGAGCUCCGGGCAAGGACUUCACCGCUUACCCCGAGGACGCACAGCACCUCCUCCUCCCCCGUCACCGAAGAUGGUUCCCCUCACCAAAUCCAGACGAGGGAGGGGCUCCCUCUACACCCCGUGGCCUCCUCCAUGACGAACAACGGGGGGAUCUGCUCCAGUGACCACCAUUGCUGCUCCGACAAACCAGAUCCGUCCAACCCUGGGGGUGUCUGAGUGGCUGCCACCUCCCUGAGUGGCGGCUACAGGAGGAAGAUAACCACCUCCACCUACGGCAUAUACCUCCUCCUCCGGUCGUAUCCCUGGGGGCGCUCUCAUAGUCGCAACAGAGGAUUGAAAACUCAUUCAUGCUUGUACUGACGAGCUAUAGGUCCGCACGCAUGUAAUUGCUCUCUCCUCUACAAGAUCGAAUCAACGAGCACAUAACAAAAGGGAGGGAGACAAAAAGAAACAACCAAAGAGAAUAAGUGUACGACCCAAAUCGGAUGAGAUUACAAAAAUGUGGAUCAUGGUUUGCUAGUUGAUGAAUCAUAUAGUUCAUGGGUACCACGAAGUCCACUGUUUUCUCUCGUUUUUGACAAAAAAUGGUGGUUUACUUCUGUUUAAUAAAAACAUAAGGAGUACACUUUCUUUUUUUAUGUGGUUCACUUGUAUUAUGCACUGGUUCAAUUUCGUGACGUUCACUUUCAUAGGGAGAAAAGUGGUGUAGAGAAAGUUAGAAAAAGGACACAAAAAAUAAUGAUUUUGUUUACGGAAGCACUUUA